AAUCAACGCUGGCGGCGUGCCUCAGACAUGCAAGUCGAACGCGAAAGGUUCCUUCGGGGACCGAGUAGAGUGGCGCACGGGUGAGUAACACGUAGGUAAUUUGCCUUUGGGUGGGGAAUAACUCAGGGAAACUUGAGCUAAUACCGCAUAAUGCAGCGGCUCGACAUCGAGACAGUUGUUAAAGCGGGGGAUUCGCAAGAACCUCGCGCCUAAAGAGAAGCCUGCGGCAGAUAGCUAGUUGGUAAGGUAAUGGCUUACCAAGGCGACGAUCUGUAACCGGCCUGAGAGGGCGGUCGGUCACACUGACACUGACAUACGGGUCAGACUCCUACGGGAGGC
rnacentral:rRNA from 1 species